GUAGAUAAAAAUUAAGAAAACAAAAAAUUAUGGCGGUGUCUUAAGCUUUUCAGAGGAAUUUGCUCUUUAAUGGAUAAAACACCUAAAUCUUACUAAAAUUGGUAAAGACAGUUUGUAUACCACUAUUAAAGCAAUUAUUUAUUACAAUUGCUGUAAAUUUUACAAAAAAAAAAAGUUAAGUCAAGGUGCAGCUUAAAUUUUAGGCUGAAGUGAAUUACAAUACUUUUUAGGAACUUUUUUUAAAAUAAAAAAAAUUAGGAUUUGAAAGUAAAGUUUUAAUAAAAUGAAUAUUUGAAU
rnacentral:rRNA from 1 species